AUGAAUGAUAUCAGGUCUCCAUCGCUGCAUCAGCUAAAGGCUCUGUUUGUUGGGGGGUUUGUGACAAAAGAGCGACACUAUCUCUGGAUUUCAAUCAUUAUUUCCUUUGUGCCGAACAUAAUAGACUGAUGAGCGGUGACCAAGGAGACGGACGAGUCCUCAUUCCACUGCAAUAUUUUGGAUUUGUUACAUGUCAUUUAGCUGACGCUUUUAUCCAAAUCACUUUUCAAUAAUUUCAACCAUAAGGAAACAAACUCAGAAGAACAAAGAAGAACUCCCUGUUUGUCUUGUUCUCCAUUGUUUCAUCUAAUGGCACAAAUGUAUAUAACCCUUCAAAAUAUGCCAUUGUACGAACAAGGUAAUAAAAUGCUGGGACGUGUGGCCAUGAUACAGAAUUGAGUGUCUCACACCGAUAAGAUGUCCCCAGUCUCUGGCUGUAGAGACACAACAAGUUGGUUUGGAGGCCACCUGUGGGUAGAAGAACCGCCCGGCCCGGUUAUGGAGAAGGAAGGUUCUUGGCCGUCUACUGAGCACGUGGCUCUUGUGACCUUUUUCCCCUUUCAAGGAAAUAAACAGAGAAAGACAAAUCUUAUUCUUAUUUACCAAAUCUUCCACAACACUCAUUGUUACAUCACAUCACAUCACAUGUCAUUUAUCUGACGCUUUUAUCCAAAGCGACUUACAAUAAGAACAUUUCAACCAUAAGGACACAAACUCAGAAGAACAAGAAACAACAAAGUGCAAUUUCCUCAAAUAAGCCGAUCUACAACUUGCUGUAGAAAUGAGCCUCGGGGCCUCGGUCCUCCUUCAUUAGCCCUGAUGUCUGCAGAUAAAACAUUUCUGUAGCCCUGAUUCCUGUUAAGGGCCUUUGUCACAUCUGCCAUUAUUUAUUCACCAUUUCUCAUCAGUUGGUGACCAGAAAUGAUGAUGCACUUAAGAUGGUACUUACUUGUAGCUCUUGAUUCUUUUUGUUCUCAGUCGCUGUGGAUAAAAACCUCAGAUGAAUGUAAUAUUUGUUGUAAUUAUGUAUUAGAACAGUAAUCAGCUCGUCUCUAACACAACAAAAUAAAACCAGGAUCAAUAUAGUUAUAUGGUAUUUCUUUUCGUUUGUAUCAUCAGAUGAAAAACUCACAGAUUUGACUUUUUUUCAAACCCUUUUUCACAAUUUUUGUAGACAUUUUUUUAAACUAUACGUUUACUUGUGUUCCCACAAUGCGCCGUGAUCCGCAAAAUGCAUGUUGGCCAAAAGUUACAUCACCAUCCAGUAAGACGAUCGCCCCGUGAAGCGUUUGCCUCCACCUGACGGAGUCCUUCCUUCCUUCCUCCUCCUUUCUGUCAACAGAGUACAGAAACAGAAUCGAGGAAUCUGUUUCUGUAUCUUCAGACCCUGUUGGACGAACAGCAGCAGUUUGAAUGAAUUCACUGAGAUACAGACGGCCCUCCAACAUGAGCUUUCCUGUACGACAGCAGCAUCACGUCGGUGCUUAUGGAUUUCCUGAUGUUGGGAGAGUUUGUGUAGAGCGAGAAGAGAAGGGGACCCAGGACGGAACCCUGAAGAACUCCAGCAGUAAGAGGACAAGGUUCCGACACAGAUCCUCUCCAGGUUACCUGAUUUGUGGUGCGGAGGUAGACGACGUGAAGUCAUCGAAUCGACACAUCAAUGGAACGCAACGUCCUUGGAGCGAGAAAUAACAACGCAGACGAAAAGGCUACAAAAAUCCACGUUUUUAAUGAACAUCACUAAUUCAGCUUCUCUCUGGGAGUUUUUUUGUGCUUUCUCCCCUAUCAGGUCUCCGUAGUUCCUUCUGGACCCUGGUCCUGACACCUGCCGUGGCCCUGUGUACAGACUGUAAAGGCCUCUGAAGCAAAUCUAGAUGCUACGUUCCUAUGCUACGAUGCUACGUUCCUGUAGCAUCUGUGAUGGCUGGCUGAUAUGUUGUAUUCAGUGUGUAUGUAGAUAAAGUGAUAAAGAUAUCCGGAGCCGAGAAGUGAAUAUGUGACAUCAUAUUUAUUCAAUUGUACCAUAUGUCAUUUCUAAUAAAACCCCUGAAUAGUGAACUUGAAAGAGUGAACAGAAAGUGGCCAUAUUGCUUCGCUUUAAGGACCCUUCAUUCCCGGCCCAUCAAACAGGAAGUGGUGAUGGAGAACAGAGGACACGGAUGGGGUCCAUUCAUUGGUUAGCGGGCUCGUCGAUACGC
ensembl:lncRNA